GAGACUGACUUCGAACUGCUAAUUCGCAAAAACCGAGCUUGAACCCUCGGUCCUCUC
rnacentral:tRNA from 1 species